rnacentral:rRNA from 1 species
AGAGUUUGAUCCUGGCACAGAUUGAACGCUGGCGGAAUGCUUUACACAUGCAAGUCGAGCGGCAGCGCGGGGGCAACCUUGGCGGCGAGCGGCGAACGGGUGAGUAACGCAUCGGAACGUGCCCAGUAAUGGGGGAUAACUACCCGAAAGGGUAGCUAAUACCGCAUACGCCCUGAGGGGGAAAGCGGGGGAUCGCAAGACCUCGCGUUAUUGGAGCGGCCGAUGUCGGAUUAGCUAGUUGGUGGGGUAAAGGCUCACCAAGGCGACGAUCCGUAGCUGGUCUGAGAGGAUGAUCAGCCGCACAGGAACUGAGACACGGUCCAGACUCCUACGGGAGGCAGCAGUGGGGAAUUUUGGACAAUGGGGGCAACCCUGAUCCAGCCAUUCCGCGUGAGUGAAGAAGGCCUUCGGGUUGUAAAGCUCUUUCGGCAGGAACGAAACGCUCUGGGCCAAUACCCCGGGGUAAUGACGGUACCUGAAGAAGAAGCACCGGCUAACUACGUGCCAGCAGCCGCGGUAAUACGUAGGGUGCGAGCGUUAAUCGGAAUUACUGGGCGUAAAGCGUGCGCAGGCGUUCUAUAAGACAGAUGUGAAAUCCCCGGGCUUAACCUGGGAACUGCGUUUGUGACUGUAGGACUCGAGUGUGGCAGAGGGGGGUGGAAUUCCACGUGUAGCAGUGAAAUGCGUAGAGAUGUGGAGGAACACCGAUGGCGAAGGCAGCCCCCUGGGUCAACACUGACGCUCAUGCACGAAAGCGUGGGUAGCAAACAGGAUUAGAUACCCUGGUAGUCCACGCCCUAAACGAUGCCAACUAGGUGUUGGGGGAGGAGACUUCCUUAGUACCGUAGCUAACGCGUGAAGUUGGCCGCCUGGGGAGUACGGUCGCAAGAUUAAAACUCAAAGGAAUUGACGGGGACCCGCACAAGCGGUGGAUGAUGUGGAUUAAUUCGAUGCAACGCGAAAAACCUUACCUACCCUUGACAUGUCCGGAAGUCUGCUGAGAGGUGGAUGUGCUCGAAAGAGAGCCGGAACACAGGUGCUGCAUGGCUGUCGUCAGCUCGUGUCGUGAGAUGUUGGGUUAAGUCCCGCAACGAGCGCAACCCUUGCCACUAGUUGCCAUCAUUUAGUUGGGCACUCUAUUGGGACUGCCGGUGACAAACCGGAGGAAGGUGGGGAUGACGUCAAGUCCUCAUGGCCCUUAUGGGUAGGGCUUCACACGUCAUACAAUGGUCGGUACAGAGGGUUGCCAACCCGCGAGGGGGAGCCAAUCCCACAAAGCCGAUCGUAGUCCGGAUCGUAGUCUGCAACUCGACUGCGUGAAGU